rnacentral:lncRNA from 1 species
GUUCUAAGCAGAUAAUAUAACAUUAUCAAUAUACAGUAUCUCACUUAUCCAACAUAAACAGGCCGGCAGAAUGUUGGAUAAGUGAAUAUGUUGGAUAAUAAGCAUUCACAACACAUGGACAACGUAUACUAUACAAUACUACACAGGGACAUAGACCCCCUCUACCCUCACCACUUUCACAGUACACAAACAACCAAAUGCAUACUAAACAUAAAAACAACCAUACAACAGACAUUCAAUACCACCAAUAACCUAUGAAUACCAGCAUGACCAUAUAAUCUUUAAAUCCCAUCUUCUUCUGCCUUUAUGGUUGGCCAUAAAUUUGUAAUACAGUUAUAUUAGUGGAUUUUUCCUAAGUAUUAUUGAUAUUAUUUGGUCAGACUUUGCAUUAUAUUCUCUAACUGCUGUUUCUCCAUCUUUCUUCACUAUUAAUGACCCUCAAUUUUUAUAGGUUACUAUUUCCAUAGUAAAACCCUGCAAAUUGUCUGAUUGAAAAUAUUCCAUUCCUAUCCACUUUAACUUUUUCACAGCACAUAUUGCAAUGUUUAUGCAACACAUUUCUUGUUUUAUGAUUUCUACUUUUCCAUCAUUUAUGUUCCAUACAUUCUCUAUUUCUAUAUGUAUAAAUCUUCACACUUACUUUUAACUUCUGAACAUAUCAGCUCUUGUCCUUGAGCCCAGUUGUAUCAUUAGACACAGAGCUUCUCCAACUUGUCCUGUGAUCUUUGCCAAUAGUUGGUUGAGUGCUUUUCAACUUUUAAGUCCUCUCUUCUGGAACUAUUUCUUCCUUCAUUUUGGGUUGUUUCAUCAAAAUUAAAGGCAUCCAGUAUACUGGGUUGAUUGUAUAGAAGAAGAUGAUCCUGCAGAUAAUCUUGACCCAAACCAUGUAGGGCUUUAAAAGUAAUAACCAGCACUUUGUACUUUGCUUGAAAAUAAUUGACAACUAAUGGAGUGCUUUUAGUAUAGAUGUGAUAUGAUCACUCCUAAAUGUACCCGUAACCAAUCUGGAUGCCAUAUGUUGGACAAAUUUGAGUUUUUAAACUUGGCACAGUAAUGUACAGUGUAUUGCAUAAGUCCAACUUUAAGGUUAUUAGUGUGUACACUACCAUCUUUAGCUCUUCUGAUUCUAGGAAGGGUCACAGCUGGCAUAUCAUCUGAAGCUGAUAAUAAGCCCUUGUCCUGGUCCGUAUGCAAAGACUGAGAAGACUAUGUCUUGAAUCUUACCCUCAUUCUUUACAUCUGAGUGCAGUAAACUAAUUCAGGAGAUAUUGUGUGACAUACAGCUUUGUCCUCUAAGAGAGAGAGAGAAACAGGAAACACAACAAGACAGCUUGCACUUCUGCUCCCUCAGCAUCUGUUGACUGAGUCAGUUCACUCUCUGCCUAAAACUGGGGCUUGA